rnacentral:SRP_RNA from 1 species
GCUGGGCAUGGUGGCGUGUGCUUGUAAUCCCAGCUACUCAGGAGGCUGAGACAGGAGAAUCGCUUGAACCCGGGAGGCAGAGGUUGCAGUGAGCUGAGAUCGCACCACUGCAUUCCAGCCUGGGCGACAGAGCGAGACUCUGUCUCCA